AUACAUGUACUUGCUUCCUGGAGGGUGGGAGACAAGACGAAAAAAUGAUACUUUGGCUGCACGUGGUAUGCAAAAGGUGGAUUCCACGGUAAAGUAAUUUUGAAUACUCCAGCUGAGGAAGCCUGACAAAUCUUUGUCAAAUCUUCCCAGAGAAGGAGGGGAAGAGGAAGACAGAGUAUAUAGACUCAGACAAUGGGAAGCCAUGUGUUUUUCACCAGGAUUCCCUCACAUCUUCUAUACCUUUUGGUCACCAAGUUCUUGAGAACCCCUUGGCAACCAGCUGUUUUGCCAGCAUUAUGAAAACUUUCUCAGAUUCAUUCACCAAAAGAGGGAGAAAACAUCAUGCUUACUGGCUCCAAAAAAAUAUCUGAGAUUGUAAAGGAAAGAAAAAUGACGACAUCCUGAUCAGUCCAAUGUAAUACAUGUCGGUUAUGAUGACAAGACAGCUUGCUUCAGUCAGCCCAUAUUGAACCAAUGUGAACUGAGAAUACCCAGGGUGAGCCUACAUGAAAGCAGAAGAUCCCUGAUUGUAAGAAGACCCAAUCUCUGUAUUUAUUUAUAAUACAGUGGUUCCCAAACUGGAGGGGUUCACGAAAUGUUACAGGGGGGUCUCGGGGGAAAAUU